rnacentral:ncRNA from 1 species
CAGAACCAGGGAAGCGAUGAUCCCCGGGGUGACCAACGGUCGCCUAGCCGCGUGAGCGGCGCCCCGGGAUGAGCCAAUGGCGAGACCGACCCGUGGCCGC